rnacentral:rRNA from 1 species
CCUACGGGAGGCAGCAGUGGGGGAUAUUGCACAAUGGGGGGAACCCUGAUGCAGCGACGCCGCGUGGGUGAAGAAGCGCUUAGGCGCGUAAAGCCCUGUUAGUAGUGAAGAAAAUGACGGUACCUGAAGAAGAAGCACCGGCUAACUCCGUGCCAGCAGCCGCGGUAAUACGUAGGGGGCAAGCGUUAGCCGGAUUUACUGGGUGUAAAGGGGGCGGAGGCGGUGUAGUAAGUCAGGUGUGAAAUCCCGGGGCCCAACUACAGGACUGCACUUGGAACUGUGAGGCUGGAGUGCAGGAGAGGCAGGCGGAAUUCCUGGUGUAGGGGUAAAAUGCGUAGAGAUCAGGAGGAAUACCGAUGGCGAAGGCGACCUGCUGGACUACAACUGACGUUGAGGCCCGAAAGCGUGGGGAGCAAACAGGAUUAGAUACCCGGGUAGUC